GACGAACGCUGGCGGCGUGCUUAACACAUGCAAGUCGAACGGAAAGGCCCUGCUUUUGUGGGGUGCUCGAGUGGCGAACGGGUGAGUAACACGUGAGUAACCUGCCCUUGACUUUGGGAUAACUUCAGGAAACUGGGGCUAAUACCGGAUAGGAGCUCCUGCUGCAUGGUGGGGGUUGGAAAGUUUCGGCGGUUGGGGACGGACUCGCGGCUUAUCAGCUUGUUGGUGGGGUAGUGGCUUACCAAGGCUUUGACGGGUAGCCGGCCUGAGAGGGUGACCGGCCACAUUGGGACUGAGAUACGGCCCAGACUCCUACGGGAGGCAGCAGUGGGGAAUAUUGCACAAUGGGCGGAAGCCUGAUGCAGCAACGCCGCGUGUGGGAUGACGGCCUUCGGGUUGUAAACCGCUUUCGCCUGUGACGAAGCGUGAGUGACGGUAAUGGGUAAAGAAGCACCGGCUAACUACGUG
rnacentral:rRNA from 1 species